rnacentral:rRNA from 1 species
GGCGGCGUGCCUAACACAUGCAAGUCAACUUGACUGAAGGAGCAAUCUGACAGUAGAGUGGCGCAAGGGUGCGUAACGCGUAAGUAACUUGCCCCAAGGUAAGGAAUAACGUCGAGAAAUCGGCGCUAAUACCUCAUAAUGCAGCGGAUCCGCAUGGAUAUGUUGUUAAAGGUUUACCGCCUUGGGAUAGGCUUGCGUCUGAUUAGCUAGUUGGUGUGGUAACGGCACACCAAGGCUACGAUCAGUAACUGGUCUGAGAGGAUGAUCAGUCACACUGGAACUGAGACACGGUCCAGACUCCUACGGGAGGCAGCAGUGAGGAAUAUUGGGCAAUGCUCGAAAGAGUGACCCAGCAACGCCGCGUGGAGGAUGAAGGUAUUCUAUAUCGUAAACUCCUGUGAGAGCAGACGAAAGACAGAUUAUUAAUCUGGAUGACUGUAUGCUCAGAGGAAGCCCCGGCUAACUACGUG